rnacentral:rRNA from 1 species
AUUGAACGCUGGCGGCAGGCCUAACACAUGCAAGUCGAGCGGCAGCGGAAAGUAGCUUGCUACUUUGCCGGCGAGCGGCGGACGGGUGAGUAAUGUCUGGGAAACUGCCUGAUGGAGGGGGAUAACUACUGGAAACGGUAGCUAAUACCGCAUGACCUCGAAAGAGCAAAGUGGGGGAUCUUCGGACCUCACGCCAUCGGAUGUGCCCAGAUGGGAUUAGCUAGUAGGUGAGGUAAUGGCUCACCUAGGCGACGAUCCCUAGCUGGUCUGAGAGGAUGACCAGCCACACUGGAACUGAGACACGGUCCAGACUCCUACGGGAGGCAGCAGUGGGGAAUAUUGCGCAAUGGGGGCAACCCUGACGCAGCCAUGCCGCGUGAAUGAAGAAGGCCUUCGGGUUGUAAAGUUCUUUCGGUGACGAGGAAGGCGUGAUGCUUAAUAGGCAUCACGAUUGACGUUAAUCACAGAAGAAGCACCGGCUAACUCCGUGCCAGCAGCCGCGGUAAUACGGAGGGUGCGAGCGUUAAUCGGAAUAACUGGGCGUAAAGGGCACGCAGGCGGCUAUUUAAGUGAGGUGUGAAAUCCCCGGGCUUAACCUGGGAAUUGCAUUUCAGACUGGGUAGCUAGAGUACUUUAGGGAGGGGUAGAAUUCCACGUGUAGCGGUGAAAUGCGUAGAGAUGUGGAGGAAUACCGAAGGCGAAGGCAGCCCCUUGGGAAUGUACUGACGCUCAUGUGCGAAAGCGUGGGGAGCAAACAGG